rnacentral:rRNA from 1 species
CUACGGGUCGCACCAGUGGGGAAUAUUGGACAAUGGGGGAAACCCUGAUCCAGCAAUGCCGCGUGUGUGAAGAAGGCCUGCGGGUUGUAAAGCACUUUCGGUUGGGAGGACUGCUUCUAGCACUAAUAUUGUUGGAAGUUGACGUUACCUUCAGAAGAAGCACCGGCUAACUCCGCGCCAGCAGCCGUGGUAAUACGGAGGGUGCAAGCGUUAUCGGAAUUACUGGGCGUAAAGCGCGCGUAGGCGGCUAGAUCAGUCGGGUGUGAAAGCCCCGGGCCUAACCUGGGAACUGCAUCCGAUACUGUCUAGCUUGAGUACAGGAGAGGAGAGUGGAAUUCCACAUGUAGCGGUGAAAUGCGUAGAUAUGUGGAGGAACACCAAUGGCGAAGGCAGCUCUCUGGCCUGAUACUGACGCUGAGGUGCGAAAGCGUGGGGAGCAAACAGGAUUAGAUACCCUAGUAGUC